rnacentral:rRNA from 1 species
UACGUAGGGCGCAAGCGUUAUCCGGAAUUAUUGGGCGUAAAGAGCUCGUAGGCGGUUUGUCGCGUCUGCCGUGAAAGUCCGGGGCUCAACUCCGGAUCUGCGGUGGGUACGGGCAGACUAGAGUGAUGUAGGGGAGACUGGAAUCCUGGUGUAGCGGUGAAAUGCGCAGAUAUCAGGAGGAACACCGAGUCGGAAGGCAGGUCUCUGGGCAUUAACUGACGCUGAGGAGCGAAAGCAUGGGGAGCGAACAGG